GUGGGGAAUUUUGGACAAUGGGCGAAAGCCUGAUCCAGCAAUGCCGCGUGUGUGAAGAAGGCCUUCGGGUUGUAAAGCACUUUUGGCAGGGAAGAAACAGUGUGUGCUAAUACCAUGCGCGAAUGACGGUACCUGCAGAAUAAGCACCGGCUAACUACGUGCCAGCAGCCGCGGUAAUACGUAGGUUGCAAGCGUUAAUCGGAAUUACUGGGCGUAAAGCGUGCGCAGGCGGCUUUGUAAGACGGAUGUGAAAGCCCCGGGCUCAACCUGGGAAGUGCAUUCGUGACUGCAAGGCUAGAGUGUGUCAGAGGGAGGUGGAAUUCCGCGUGUAGCAGUGAAAUGCGUAGAGAUGCGGAGGAACACCGAUGGCGAAGGCAGCCUCCUGGGAUAACACUGACGCUCAGGCACGAAAGCGUGGGGAGCAAACAGGAUUAGAUACCCCGGUAGUCC
rnacentral:rRNA from 1 species